rnacentral:rRNA from 1 species
AGAGUUCGAUCCUGGCUCAGAACGAACGCUGGCGGCGCGUCUUAAGCAUGCAAGUCGGGCGGGAUCCACGCGCUUGCGCGUGGUGAGAGCGGCGGACUGGCGAGUAACACGUGGGCGACGCGCCCUCCGGACGGGAAUAGCCUGCAGAAAUGCAGGGUAAUGCCGGAUGCGAACGCACGGGCUGGAGCCGUGCGUGGAAAGCCCCCACGGGGGCGCCGGAGGAGCGGCCCGCGGCCCAUCAGCUGGUAGGCGGUGCAAGGGACCACCUAGGCUACGACGGGUACCCGGCCUCAGAGGGCGGACGGGCGCAUUGGGACUGAGAUACGGCCCAGACUCCUACGGGAGGCAGCAGCUAAGAAUAUUCCGCAAUGGGGGGAACCCUGACGGAGCGACGCCGCGUGGACGAUGAAGGCCGGAAGGUUGUAAAGUCCUUUUGUCAGUGAGGAAUAAAACGGGGAGGGAAUGCCCCGGAGAUGACUGUAGCUGACGAAUAAGCACCGGCUAAUUACGUGCCAGCAGCCGCGGUAACACGUAAGGCGCGAGCGUUGUUCGGAAUCAUUGGGCGUAAAGGGCGUGUAGGCGGCCCUGCAAGCCUGGCGUGAAAUCCCGGGGCCCAACCCCGGAACCGCGCUGGGAACUGCUGGGCUUGAGCCGCUGUGGCGCAGCCGGAAUUCCAGGUGUAGGGGUGAAAUCUGUAGAUAUCUGGAAGAACACCGAUGGCGAAGGCAGGCUGCGAGCGGACGGCUGACGCUGAGGCGCGAAGGCGCGGGGAGCGAACAGGAUUAGAUACCCUGGUAGUCCGCGCAGUAAACGAUGCACACUGGGUGUCCGGGCAUGAGCCCGGGUGCCGAAGCGAACGCGUUAAGUGUGCCGCCUGGGGAGUAUGCCCGCAAGGGUGAAACUCAAAGGAAUUGAC